rnacentral:rRNA from 1 species
GAGUUUGAUUAUGGCUCAGGACGAACGCUGGCGGCGUGCCUAAUACAUGCAAGUAGAACGCUGAAGACUUUAGCUUGCUAAAGUUGGAAGAGUUGCGAACGGGUGAGUAACGCGUAGGUAACCUGCCUACUAGCGGGGGAUAACUAUUGGAAACGAUAGCUAAUACCGCAUAACAGCAUUUAACCCAUGUUAGAUGCUUGAAAGGAGCAAUUGCUUCACUAGUAGAUGGACCUGCGUUGUAUUAGCUAGUUGGUGAGGUAACGGCUCACCAAGGCGACGAUACAUAGCCGACCUGAGAGGGUGAUCGGCCACACUGGGACUGAGACACGGCCCAGACUCCUACGGGAGGCAGCAGUAGGGAAUCUUCGGCAAUGGGGGCAACCCUGACCGAGCAACGCCGCGUGAGUGAAGAAGGUUUUCGGAUCGUAAAGCUCUGUUGUAAGAGAAGAACGUGUGUGAGAGUGGAAAGUUCACACA